rnacentral:rRNA from 1 species
CCCUUAGAUGUCCUGGGCCGCACGCGCGCUACACUGAUGCAUUCAACGAGUUUACCUUGGCCGAGAGGCCUGGGCAAUCUUUUAAACCUGCAUCGUGAUAGGGAUAGAUUAUUGCAAUUAUUAAUCUUGAACGAGGAAUUCCUAGUAAACGCAGAUCAUCAAUCUGCAUUGAUUACGUCCCUGCCCUUUGUACACACCGCCCAUCGCACCUACCGAUUGAAUGGUCCGGUGAAGCCUCGGGAUUGUGGCCAGCUCGCUUUAUUGGGAGUUGGUCGCGAGAACUUGUCUAAACCUUAUCAUUUAGAGGAAGGUGAAGUCGUAACA